AUGAGAUGGGAAACACCAAAUUUGAAGAUACCACAUGUAGACAAGUUUAGUUGCCCUGUGAAUUUACAAAAAUGGUCACAAGUUUGCCUUCACAAUGCAACAAGAGGUGNUAUGUACCCAUCACGUACAGAUCUUGGACUGGAUAGCUCAAAACCAGCUGAUGAUCAGAAUAUGUGUAAGGAAAAAUUAUACAAGUAGGAGUAUGUCAUAUAUCAUAUGCAGUGAUAGAAACUAUUAGUAGUGUGUGAAUAUUUAUCCACUUAGAAGCACCUCAAAGAAAAGCCACUUCAUAUAUCAAAUUAAAGCAAGACUGCUCUCAGUUCUACUUCAUCCUGGGCCAACUCAACCCACAUAGUCAGCAGUGUUAUACAGAUAAUUUAAUAAGAGUUACUUUUAGCUUUUAUUUAUCCAGCAGUGCAAGCUAUGUAAACUAAUAGGCAAAAUUGGACUUGCAUAUUAGUGGGCAAAUACUGAGGUUUUGCAUGUGUAAAUUCCUUCAAUGCUGUGGAAGGGAGGAGACAUAAAACUACCGUAUGUUGAAAGCCCAUACAACUUCAGUUCUACCCUCUCCUCUAGACAUUGCAAUAUAUAUGACGUAACCUUUAAACUGAGAGCCUCAACUUUGCAUAAUCUGGCAGCAUUAUUACUGUGCACUGGCUGCACUCACACUAAGGUUUUUUUAAACAUUUGUUAACACUUAGCAGAAUUUCUAUCAGUGGAAGCCAGCAGUGUAUUUCUACCAUAAACCAAUGGUAAACUUUGGGAUUUAGUAGCAUCCAUGAUAAACUGGUGUUUAGUUCAAUACUCAAAAAAGGAAGAUUUCUAGUGAUUUACCUAAAGGCAAUUCAGUGCUUCUAACAAAUGGAAGAAAAGCAGUUAUGAUCAGAAAAAAUGACUAUGGAAAAGUGGCACUUCCUUGCUCAACGUAAGUGCUUCCUGAGUGUAUUCCAUUUCAUCUGCUUACUUUUCUGACAAAAAAUAAAGGCCCAGUUGAAUAGUUCUUACCCA
rnacentral:lncRNA from 1 species